rnacentral:rRNA from 1 species
UACAGAGGUCCCAAGCGUUGUUCGGAUUCAUUGGGCGUAAAGGGUGCGUAGGCGGCGCGGUAAGUCGGAUGUGAAAUCUCCGGGCUCAACCCGGAAAUGGCAUUGGAAACUACCUUGCUGGAGGGUUUGAGGGGGGAUUGGAAUACUUGGUGUAGCAGUGAAAUGCGUAGAUAUCAAGUGGAACACCAGUGGCGAAGGCGAAUCCCUGGAAAACACCUGACACUGAGGCACGAAAGCUAGGGGAGCAAACAGG